GAUGAACGCUGGCGGCGUGCCUAAUACAUGUAAGUCGAGCGAACGGACGAGAAGCUUGCUUCUCUGAUGUUAGCGGCGGACGGGUGAGUAACACGUGGAUAACCUACCUAUAAGACUGGGAUAACUUCGGGAAACCGUAGCUAAUACCGGAUAAUAUUUUGAACCGCAUGGUUCAAAAGUGAAAGACGGUCUUGCUGUCACUUAUAGAUGGAUCCGCGCUGCGUUAGCUAGUUGGUAAGGUAACGGCUUACCAAGGCAACGAUGCAUAGCCGACCUGAGAGGGUGAUCGGCCACACUGGAACUGAGACACGGUCCAGACUCCUACGGGAGGCAGCAGUAGGGAAUCUUCCGCAAUGGGCGAAAGCCUGACGGAGCAACGCCGCGUGAGUGAUGAAGGUCUUCGGAUCGUAAAACUCUGUUAUUAGGGAAGAACAUAUGUGUAAGUAACUGUGCACAUCUUGACGGUACCUAAUCAGAAAGCCACGGCUAACUACGUG
rnacentral:rRNA from 1 species